rnacentral:rRNA from 1 species
CCUCAGUAACGGCGAGUGAAGCGGCAACAGCUCAAAUUUGAAAUCUGGCCCCAGGCCCGAGUUGUAAUUUGCAGAGGAUGUUUCUGGCGAGGUGCCUUCCGAGUUCCCUGGAACGGGACGCCAUAGAGGGUGAGAGCCCCGUACGGUUGGUCGCUAAGCCUCUGUGAAACUCCUUCGACGAGUCGAGUAGUUUGGGAAUGCUGCUCUAAAUGGGAGGUGUACGCCUUCUCAAGCUAAAUACCGGCUAGAGACCGAUAGCGCACAAGUAGAGUGAUCGAAAGAUGAAAAGCACUUUGAAAAGAGGGUUAAAUAGUACGUGAAAUUGUUGAAAGGGAAGCGCUCUUGACCAGACUUGCGCCGGUUGAUCAUCCACCGUUCUCGGUGGUGCACUCUGCCGGCUCAGGCCAGCAUCAGUUCGGUCCGGGGGAUAAAGGCUUCGGGAACGUGGCUCUCUCCGGGGAGUGUUAUAGCCCGUUGCGUAAUACCCUGGGCUGGACUGAGGUUCGCGCAUCUGCAUGGAUGCUGGCGUAAUGGUCAUCAGUGACCCGUCUUGAAACACGGACCAAGGAGUCGUCUUCGUAUGCGAGUGUUCGGGUGUCAAACCCCUACGCGUAAUGAAAGUGAACGUAGGAGAGAGCUUCGGCGCAUCUCCGACCGAUCCUGAUGUUCUCGGAUGGAUUUGAGUAAGAGCAUACGGGGCCGGACCCGAAAGAAGGUGAACUAUGCCUGUAUAGGGUGAAGCCAGAGGAAACUCUGGUGGAGGCUCGCAGCGGUUCUGACGUGCAAAUCGAUCGUCAAAUAUGGGCAUGGGGGCGAAAG